AUGGCUGACAAGGAAGCGGCCUUUGAUGACUUGGUGGAAGAAAGUGUGAUCAACGAGGAGUACAAAAUAUGGUAGAAGAACACUCCUUUCUUUAUGAUUUGGUGAUGACCCAUGCCAUGGAGUGGCCCAGCUUAACUGCUUCCAGAUGUGACUAGGCCUGAAAGGGAAGAUUUCAGCAUUCAUCCUCUUGUCCUGGGAACACACACGUCUGAUGAACAAAACCAUCUGGUGAUAGCCAGUGUCCAGCUCCCUAAUGAUGAUGCUCCGUUUGAUGUGUCCCAUUAUGACAGUGAAAAAGGAGAAUUUGGAGGUUUUGGUUCUGUCAGUGGAAAAACUGAAAUAGAAACCAAGAUCAACCAUGAGGGAGAAGUAAACAGGUCCCGGUACAUGCCUAAGAACCCCUGCAUCAUUGCAACAAAGACUCCAUCCAGUGAUGUUCAUUGUUUUGAUUACACAAAGAAUCCUUCUAAACCAGACCUUUCUGGAGAAUGCAACCCAGAUUUGCAUCUCUGUGGACAUCAGAAGGAAGGAUAUGGGCUUUCUUAGGAUCCAAAUCUCAGCCGGCACUUACUCAGUGCUUCAGAUGACCAUAUCUGUCUGUGGGACAUCAGUGCAGUUCCAAAAGAAGGAAAAGUAGUGGAUGCAAAGGCCAUCUUUACAGGGCAUACAGCAAUAGUAGAAGAUGCUUCCUGGCAUCUGCUCCCCAAGUCUCUGGGUCAGUUGCUGAUGAUCAGAAACGUAACGAUUUGAAACACUUGUUCAAACAAUACUUCCAAGCCAAGCCACUCGGUUGAUGCUCACAAGUUGAUGCUGAAGUGAAUUGCUUAUCUUUCAAUCCUUACAGUGAGUUCAUUCUUGCCACAGGAUUAGCUGACAAGACUGUUGCCUCGUGGGAUCGGAGAAAUCAGAAACUCAAGUUGCAUUCCUUUGAAUCCCAUAAGGAUGAAAUAUUCCAAGUUCAGUGGUCACCUCACAAUGAGACUGUCUUAGCUUCCAGUGGUACUGAUCUUAGGCUGAAUGUCUGGGAUCUAAGUAAAAUUGGAGAAGAGCAGUCCCCAGAAGAUGCAGAGGAUGGCCCACCAGAGUUGUUGUUUAUUCAUGGCGGGCACACUGCCAAGAUAUCUGACUUCUGGAAUCCCAAUGAACCUUGGGUGGCUUGUUCUGUAUCAGAAGACAAUAUCAUUCAAGAGUGGCAGAUGGCAGAGAACAUUUAUAAUGAUGAAGACUCUGAAGGAAGUGUGGCUCCAGAGGGACAAGGAUCCUAG